GAUGAAGAACGCAGCGAAAUGCGAUACGUAAUGUGAAUUGCAGAAUUCAGUGAAUCAUGGAGUCUUUGAACGCACAUUGCGCCCCCUGGUAUUCCGGGGGGCAUGCCUGUCCGAGCGUCAUUGCUGCCCUCAAGCACGGCUUGUGUGUUGGGCCUCCGUCCUCCUCCCGGGGGACGGGCCCGAAAGGCAGCGGCGGCACCGCGUCCGGUCCUCGAGCGUAUGGGGCUUCGUCACCCGCUCUUGUAGGCCCGGCCGGCGCUUGCCGACACAUCAAUCUUUUUUCCAGGUUGACCUCGGAUCAGGUAGGGAUACCCGCUGAACUUAAGCAUAUCAAUAAGCGGAGGA
rnacentral:misc_RNA from 1 species